rnacentral:lncRNA from 1 species
GGCCAAUCGUGGAAUAUUAACGUUGCCCCGGGAACUACCCAGGCCCGAAUCUGGGGGCGUACUAAUUGUAACUUCGACGCAAAUGGUCGUGGCCAAUGCGAAACCGGAGAUUGUAACGGGCUAUUAGAAUGCCAAGGAUAUGGUAGACCUCCUAAUACCCUAGCCGAAUUUGCCCUUAAUCAACCUAAUAACUUGGACUUUGUCGACAUCUCAAAUGUCGACGGAUUUAACAUCCCGUUGGAGUUCAGCCCCACCACCAACGUCUGUCGCCGACUCGUAUGCAAUGCUCCUAUAGUCCAGCAAUGUCCUAGUGAACUACGUACUCCUGGCGGUUGUAACAACCCGUGCACUGUUUUCAACACCAAUGAAUAUUGUUGCACCAAUGGACCCGGAAGCUGUGGCCCAACACCAUUGUCGAGGUUCUUUAAGGAAAGGUGCCCGGAUGCUUAUAGCUACCCGCAAGACGAUCCGACAAGCCUGUUCACUUGCCCGGCUGGUACGAACUACCGUGUUGUCUUCUGCCCGUGAUCAAGCUCUUAAAUUUGCUGUAUAAGUGGGUGCACAUGUAGUGUUGUGCAACAUUAAUCUCAGUGAAAUACAAAUAUAGAAUAAGAGUCUAAAUUAAAGAAUAAGACUGGAAAUGGUUCCUGUUCACCUGUGUUUUUGAUAUAUAGUAACUAAGUUAAGUUUUACUCAACUUUUUUUUAGCAGUAUUACUAUGCAUAAAUGCCCUACAUGCAAUAUUUGCUAUUCAAUUUUAAAUGAAAGACAAUGAAUUCGAAGUGCCCAGGAAGACCAGUACUUUUCUAUGAGGUCGGGCCGAACUGGAAAAUGUCAGGCCUAGGUUGGCCUGCAGGCACAGCUCAUACUGUAUUAGACCGAGCCGGCCAGUUGGUUCAAGACCUUUCCGAGAGAUAAUCUUAGAAAAAUAACAAUGUUUUCUCUCAUCCAUGAUUAGAAAUAUUCUAAGGAAUAAAGAAAAUCGUUUUAAUGAAGUAAUAUAAAAGUAAUACAUUAUUUACUGAUUAUACUUGUGAAAUAAUACAAAACCAUUAUGUACAUUAUCUGUUACGGCCUUCUUAUCUAAUAUGAAAGAUGAUAUGCAUGAAAUUUCUUAGACUUGAGCCCGAGCUUCAUACACCAUACCCGAGCUUCCAAGCCCUAACAUUUCCUCACUAAAACGCCUCAAGAGCAAGGUCGGGCCUUGUCAAGGUCGGGCUUCAUUGACAUAAAAGGACUUCUCCGAGCUCUCAUCCCAAAUCUCCUAGAAGUUAUUCCGAUCCUGACUGUAGCUCCCUGUAUUGACCUUUAUCUAUAUACUUAAAAGUCUUCACCCUACAUAAUUAAUAAGAUAAGGAUGGCAGGUGGACUAAUCCUUCUAGGAUCCAAUCACCUGCCUCAAUAAAUACAGGACCUCAAUUCAUUGUUCAAGUAUGCAUCUAUCUAAUUUUCAAUUUAUAACCUCAUGAAUAAAUUCUCUCUCUCUAACUUAAGUAUCGGAGAAAAGACGAGAACACGCACGUUUUUGUUUUGGGGUACAAAAAAUUUCUGUUCGUGCUCAUUCGCAAUUAUUAAGCUUGAAAAUCAACAUAUACGAUUUUUGAUAGUAUCAAAAUGAUUUCAUGAUUUCGAAAUUAUCUUACCUUUUAAAUAGAAUUUUCAAAAUUUUGUUAUCCUUUGUCUUUUAAAAAAGGAGUAAAUCCGUAAGUCUAGUGGGUUAGCGUUAGCUCAUUAUUAUGAUUAAAUAAAUUUGUAUAUUAAGUGCACUUAGUAAUAUAAAAUAAGAAAAUAAAAGUAAACCUUGUUAAGGGAGAAAAAUCCCACAUUGAUUAAAUACCGAAAUAUUGACUAACUUAAAAAUAUCUUGGAUUAUUCUUCUUAAUAAGGUUGACCUUUUAAGAUGGAAUCACAAGUCUUUACAUGGUAUUAGAGUCCAUUAAACUCUAACGACCAAUUCGAUCUGAUAAAGACUCUAAAAAUGAGCACACAAAUUUCAAGAUUGAUCUGCUCAAACGAGACAUCAUCUUGCGGAAACAUGUUAAGGGAUAAAAAUCUCACAUCAGUUAAAUACCGAAACAUUGAUCAUCUUAAAAAGAUCUUGGACUACUCCUCUUAAUAAGGUUGACCUUUUAAGAUAAAAUCUCAAGUCUUUACAAUCCUAACAAGUAAUAUAAUUUACUUUACCCUCAAUGGGUUGUUGUUGAAAUUGCACUAUAUUGAAGAACAUAAUUAAAAUGUGAUUUGGACUCAUGUCCUUCGUUUUAUCUUAACUAUGAUAUACAAAAAUGGAGGUUCGUUGAAUAAUUUUUAUAUAAGACGAAAAUAUUAACAUGACCUAACAUAUAUGCGAAUUUCUUAAAUAUCCCUCAAACCGCAACUUAGUGAAAAAUGUACAGUAUGUUAGAUUCCACACAUUCAACAAACACUUGGUAUGGCCCCCAGGAGCACAUCCCAAUUGGCAAAGGACGGAGUUCUUCAAGGCGGGCAGUUUAGAGGUCGCGGAUUCGAUUCAUGGGGCUCUUAGAAGGCAGGCUUUCUCCUGGAAGACAAUAUAUUUCCUGGAAAGCAGGAGUUCUCCUAGAAGGCAAUGCGCAUACAUGGGUUUGACUCGUUCGACACUUUGACAAUUCAGUUGGGAAAGCUCUUGGACCCUGGCCAGUUUGGGGCACAACCAGCAGUUUACCUGCUCUGCGUGAAGAGGGGUUGGAUCGUAUGCUUCAGGAUUAGUCGCUGUAAGGCGGACACCAGAGUAUAAAUAAAAUAAAAUAAAAUAAAAUAACAUAAACACUUGGCAUGUGCAAAUAUCGUUCACAAGACAAAGUGAUGCAUUGGGGCUGUAAAUUUCAGAUUAGCAAAUGCACAAUAUUCCCCUGUCCGAGCCCCAUUUUCUGAAAAAUCAUUUUUUUCUUAAACCCAUUUUCAACAAUACUUUCUCUUAAUGAAAUAAUUUUCUAUGUAAAUCCAAAAUAUUUGCAUAAUUUUUCACCAUACAUUCUUCACAAAAAUAAAAACUGUUGCAAAAAUCAUUUUUCAUUGGAAUAAAACUCAAACAUGGGCUACACAUAGAGAUCGUGCAGUGUUUGUGCAAAUUUUUUAAGGAAAAUUCUAAAUGUACACAAACGAAUCCCGAAUGUUUUACACAAUGCUGACGUGGCGAUACAUUUGAAUUCAAAAAAACGUCUACAGUGGUCAAAAUAUCGCUCUCUUUCCUCUCUCUUCAUUUAACAAGAAAUGACAAUUUACAGUGAAUGCUGACAAUUUCUCUCUCUUCAGACGUCUCUGUCUCUCUGUGGGUAGGGUUCAACCUUUCACACUUUACAAUGAAAAUUCAUAAUCUCUCUGUUAGACUCUCUCUUUCUCUCUAACGACGGGCCGAAAUCCCUCUCUGCAACAGUGGAUUUGUAUUCUAGACGAAGACUUCCUUCAAUUAGCCGACGGCGAGGAGAACGGGGAAGACAACGGCAUCACAGUAUUUGAAAUAGCUCCUUCAGGUUGAGAUCUGAAACGAUUUUUAUAUCCAUUUUUGGUAUUAUUUUAACAAAGCGGAAUAUUCAAAACUUAAAUAGAAAAACAAAAUUACAAUAAAGCAUUUUAGUUAAUUGAAUAUUGAAAAAGUUUGAAAGGCAUUUUUCUUUGGUCUGUGUGGAAUUAUUUUAAUUUCUGUGAAUAGUUGACGGUCUACAAUUUUUUAUUUUUAUUUUUAUUUUUAUUUUUUCCUUGCGAGAUCUAUAAUGUUCUUUUCAGUGGCAAUAAUUUAAUGUCUUGGUCAUAUGAUGAUUGUAUAUUCUUGCAUAUUCGCGUUUUGGGGUAAAUUAUUUCUAAUAAUAUUUGAACAUUUUCUAUCAAUUACUCUGAUUCUUAUAACAAAAUUACGACACUGAAUAGUUUUGUUUAUAUAUAUCUUUUGAAGUCUAGUGAGGACUUUGGUCCAUUAACAUUGAUUUGCUUGUGCAUAUCUCUUAUGUGCCGUGAUUUAAUGGCAAAAGCAUAUCCUUUGUGCUACUUCAUGUCUUCCUCAUUGUAUUUAUGCCGAGUUUAGCAAAUUUUAGAUUUAUUUAUUGAAUUUGUAUAAAAGCAAAGUUUAUAUGAGAAAAGUAAAUUUGUGUCCAGUGUUUGAAUUGAUAUUAAGGCAGUUCUCUCCUCGUAUCAAUUGAAUAUCAUCCUUACUUGGUUUGCCCGGUGUUAAUGUAUCUCGAGUUUAAAUGAUUUUAUAGUUCAUAAUCUAAACACUGAAGAAAAAUAUAAUGUAGUACUUGCAGUCAUCUACACCAAAGUUCCACUUCAAUUUAGAUUGCAAACACCCCAGUUAGAUAGAAUUUUUUUGCAUUUAUAUUAAAUUACAUAUACAAUAUGUUGGUAUGCAGUACUUGAUACAAUUGGACAAUACUGACAAGAUUUUGAUUUUAGCUUUAUUUUCUUCUUUUGUAUUGUCUGAUUCAAUUCAAUCCACCUUAAAACAUGCCAUUAGUGUCUUUAUUUGUUUAGUAGCCAAGUAAUAAAAUCAUCACUUAUGUUUAGAUAGUAUAUGAUCUUGACAGAAAGAAGCGACAUUUUAUGACAUUUUGUUUAUUUACCUUUCCAUUUGGCCCUUCUUUCGCUAUAGAAACCAAGUGAUGUGAUAUCUAUUUACAUUCACCUCAAUUAAUGUGUUGUAUGUAUAGUUAGAAUGAACUUUCAAAACUUCAAAUGUAAAGAGAAUAAAAUGUUAAUUUAAGACACUAUGUAAUCUGCUUUUUGCACAUCUUUCAUGUGUUACAGUUACUUUUAUUUCAACAAGCAUAUAUAGUAUGUACAUUUCAUUUUUUGGCACUUGAUUAAAUUUUUUAAUGUCUCUGUUCUUUACUCAGAUUCAACAUUUUUGUCACUUGAUUAAUUGUUUUUAUUGGAUUAGGAUUGUUCUAUGGGUGGCCAAAAUAGGGGAUUAUGUCAUUUUUGUAGGGUUGCGGGACACGUGUUGCCGGAAUGUCCAAAAAAGAUUAAAUGCCCAAACUGUGGCGAGGGCUUCGUCAGGUGGUUGGAGGUAGAAAAGAAUUCGGAUAAUAAAGGGUUGUUGUUCCAUAGUUUUACCUGCAACUGUCGGCUUUUCAAGUUUUCUAACAUUGCGCCGUAUAAAGAGUAUUCAUUGCAAGGUGAAUCAAGUGGCACUACCAACGGAAGUGAACCGGUUGACGAUUUGUCCCGUAUGUUGACGACGUGUGCAAAAAUAACCAAGGAGAGAAACUUAGAGAUUUCAUUCAACAUCACCAUACGCAAAGGGAAACGAGUUUUGAAAGAUGUAGAAUGAAAUAUAUGUAAUUGAGUAGCUUCGACUUAUUGUAAUUAAAAUUGCAGUGAUGGCUAUGUUUGGAGCACAUUUUCUGUGAAGUUGUCUUGAUGUAUGUAGUGAACUAUUACAAGUGUUGUCAAUCAAAUCCCAUGUUGCAGUACAUUGCUUAUUUGGUUGUCUACCCAAUUAUGUUGCAGUACUUACAAUGUUGAUCUUAUUUUUCAAUGAAUCAUCUCUAAGUGUUAUAUAAAUAGGCUUCAAUCAUUCAGAAACCUCUAUAGUUUUAUGAACCCACAUUCUACUACAAGGUUUAUGAACCCACAGCGAACAAUUCAAUCCGUUUAAAGCAGCUGGAUCUCAAGAUUUUUGUUCUCAAACCAGCAACAUCUUGGGCAACAUGUUAACUUUACAAUCUGAGGUAAGUUUUCCAGGAGAAGAUUCGACUAGCUUUAUAUGUGCAAAAAGCAGCAACUGUCUACCAAAUGAGUUUUUUAAAUAAUGGAUUUAAACAGGGGAUAAAUAACCUCUUACGUGUCUAUCUCGAUGAAGAGAUAAAGAAAAAACUAUUCCAUUUUUUUACAAGAGAUGCUGUAGUGAAUGUUCAUAUUAACCAACCAUGUAUGAAAAGAAAUUCACUUCUAUGGAAAUGAGAUCUGUGGGAGAGGCCAAUAAUGAAAUGGCAUUAUUUUUUAGGUAUAUUAACAUCCCUUUGACCUUUAUGUAAAUAAAAAAACUCACGAAGAAUGUUAAAAUCUAUAUUUUUACUGCAUUUGAUAAACUGUAGAAAGUAAAUGCUCCUUCAACCUGUUUGAAACUCAAUGGACACUUUACAUUCCUUGUUUUCAGAAAUUACUAUUUACAUACUACCUAAUAUAAAACUCAUGCUAAAUUAAAGAAAACCAAUGUUGUACCUAAUAUAAAACUCGUCAAAAAUAUAUUACCAAGAUUCCACAACAGUCAACUACAUCAAAUGCUGGAAUUUAAAACUCACAACAGUCAACUACAUCAAAAUGCUAGAAUUUAAAACUACAUCAAAAUGCUGGGAUUUAAAACCCGUACAUCAAAAAACAACUCCUACAUAAAAAUGAGCUGGAAUUUUAAAGCCCUACAUCAAAAUCUCCAAUGCUCUCCUGCAUGCCGAUCUCCUGCGAAAUUGGAAUUCAUUAAAAAAUCAUCGAAGUAUGGCAAAGUAUGGCAAGUCAUUGAUACAAUAUGAUUGUACUAAAGAAUAAACAACAAUCAAAAUAAGCAUUUUUUCAAUUGGACCUAAAUUGAGGUUUAAGAAUGAACAACAAUCAAACUGCAUCUAAAAUGCUAUUGUAAGCAGUAGUGAACUUAAGCACUGUCCUAUUAGUGAACAUGAACAAUAAUCUGCUAUUUUAAGCCCUACUUAUAAGUAAUGUUACUCAAAUAAAUAUUUUUUUUUAUCGUAACAUGUGAGUUUGUGUAUGUAUAAGAAAACAAAGAAGUAGCCCGAGAAAUGGAUUAAUGCUAUUGUAAGCAGCAAAUAUAAAUUGAGGUUUACCUAUAAUUUCAACAAUCAAUCAUAUUAACUAUCACUUCAAUUUCUUAAACUGCAUCUAAAUUGAGGUUUACCUAUAAUUAACUUAUUGUACACUCGAUUAACUAUCACUUAAUUCACCAGAAAUAAUUAAAUAAAAAGUCGUAAAUAAGUGAAUAAUGCGUAAUUAUCAUGCAAAUAAAUUGUUGGUGCCCAGUGCAAUUGCCAAAAUCAUUUCACGCUCUACGNUUUGACAUUUUGUUUAUUUACCUUUCCAUUUGGCCCUUCUUUCGCUAUAGAAACCAAAUGAUGUGAUAUCUAUUUGCAUUCACCUCAAUUAAUGUGUUGUAUGUAUAGUUAGAAUGAACUUUCAAAACUUCAAAUGUAAAGAGAAUGAAAGGUUAAUUUAAGGCACUAUGUAAUCUGCUUUUUGCCCAUCUUUCAUGUGUUACAGUUACUUUUAUUUCAGCAAGCAUAUAUAGUAUGUACAUUUCAUUUUUUGGCACUUGAUUAAAUUUUUUAAUGUCUCUGUUCUUUACUCAGAUUCAAUAUUUUUGUCACUUGAUUAAUUGUUUUUAUUGGAUUAGGAUUGUUCUAUGGGUGGCCAAAACAGGGGAUUAUGUCAUUCUUGUAGGAUUGCGGGACACAUGUUGCCGGAAUGUCCAAAAAAGAUUAAAUGUCCAAACUGUGGCGAGGGCUUCGUUAGGUGGUUGGAGGUAGAAAAGAAUUCGGAUAAUAAAGGGUUGUUGUUCCAUAGUUGUACCUGCAACUGUCGGCUUUUCAAGUUUUUUAACAUUGCGCCGUAUAAAGAGUAUUCAUUGCAAGGUCAAUCAAGUGGCACUACCAACGGAAGUGAACCGGUCGACGAUUUGUCCCGUAUGUUGACGACGUGUGCAAAAAUAACCGAGGAGAGAAACUUAGAGAUUUCAUUCAACAUCACCAUACGCAAAGGGAAACGAGUUUCGGAAGAUGUAGAAUGAAAUAUAUGUAAUUGAGUAACUUCGAGUUAUUGUAAUUAAAAUUGCAGUGAUGGCUGUCUUUGGAGCACAUUUUCUGUGAAGUUGUCUUGAUGUAUGUAGUGAACUAUUACAAGUGUUGUCAAUCAAAUUCCAUGUUGCAGUACAUUGCUUAUUUGGUUGUCUACCCAAUUACGUUGCAGUACUUACAAUGUUGAUCUUAUUUUAGCAUUCUGCAUUUGAUACCUUUGACCUUUAUGUAAAUAAACAAUGUAUAAUUUUUUGUCCACCUGUAAUUUAUUCACAUUGAAUUUUCAAUUUGGGUUUAAUAUAGAUUCGUUAAUCUGUAUAGUGAUAACAGUUUCUUGUAACUGUAGAAUCUGAUACAAUUUUGGCUAAACUUAUCAUUCUUAUCAAUGUAAUUUCAACCAAAGUAGAAGGAAGGAAAAUCCAAAAGCUUUCCCUCUGGCAGUUGAUUCUCAAUAACAAUUACCCGAACUCCUUAUGAAAACAAGUCAUAAUGUUCACCAACAAAAACAAUGCCCACACAAAGGUCCGAGGUCUACAGCUCCAACAUUCUCGUCCUAGAAGACAUGAAGCUCACCUAAAUGUUCUCUUCUGGACGUAGCUCUGCUAGCUUUGGUGUAGUACCUAGUACUUGUUCCAUGUCAAAGCGAACUUCAAUAUUCCUAAUACUAUAAGCCAAUAAAGAACUUGGCAAGUUCAAGGGCACCUGUCUUCGUUACAUUAGUUUGCAAAUGAAACAUCUUGGACAACAUGUUAACAUCCCUUUGACCUUUAUGUAAAUAAAAAAACUCACGAAGAAUGCUAAAAUCUAUAUUUUUACUGCAUUUGAUAAACUGUAGAAAGUAAAUGCUCCUUCAACCUGUUUGAAACUCAAUGGACACUUUACGUUCCUUGUUUUCGGAAAUUACUAUUUACAUACUACCUAAUAUAAAACUCAUGCUAAAUUAAAGAAAACCAAUGUUGUACCUAAUAUAAAACUCGUCAAAAAUAUAUUACCAAGAUUCCACAACAGUCAACUACAUCAAAUGCUGGAAUUUAAAACUCACAACAGUCAACUACAUCAAAAUGCUGGGAUUUAAAACCUGUACAUCAGAAAACAACUCCUACAUAAAAAUGAGCUGGAAUUUUAAACCCCUACAUCAAAAUCUCCAAUGCUCUCCUGCGUGCCGAUCUCCUGCGAAAUUGGAAUUCAUUAAAAAAUCAUCGAAGUAUGGCAAGUCAUUGAUACAAUAUGCUCUCAGUGACCUUCAAUUUAUAAAGGUUUCUUAUAGAUAAAAUUUAUUCUAACACCAAUUACAUAGGCAGAUAAAAAUUUUUCUAACACCAACAACAUUUAAAAUCUAAAAUAUGCCUUGAAAACAUGAUAUGUGAAGGAGUUUGGACUUCAAAUCUCAUCAAUUCAAAUGCUAUAAUUUAUCCAAUGGCUACUGCUACUGGUCUUUCAACCGUGAAUCAUCUUGCCAAUUUGAAACAAAUACAAAUUGAUUCCAAACAACCAAUUAUCAUUAUGGAAGACAAGCUUAACUCAUUACCGAACAUUGAACAUUAUACAAGAAUAGUUAAAAGCAAGAAGUGCACCUGAACGUUUAAUGAGGACGAAACUUUAUCUUUUUGCCCGUUCGAUGUAGAUGAGUUUGCCAUCUGUAAAUCAUGGAGAACACACUCAGUUCAAUCUAUAGAGUGAUUAUCAAAUUAUAGAAUUCUGCUCGAAAUCAUACCUUUCGACUGAGUUUUGAUUUUCUAGAACCAGCUUCUAGACAUCCCUUUCGGCGAAGUUUUUUAGGAGCUCCCUUGCUUUUUGUGUAUUUUGGGUCGAAGAUGAUUCCGCUAGCACACUUUUCGGCUUCAUCCAAGCGUUGAGAGCCCACGCUACUAUAAUUCAACAUGGAAGAAUCAUUUAUUUGGAUUUCAAUCUAUUCCAUGAUACCACGUGACCGUGACUCAUCGUGUGCUACGAUGUCCGCUAACUUCGCAAAUGCAUUGCACAUUUCCUCAUAUCUAAUUUGGUCUGGAGUACUAAUCCAACCAUCAUACAUAAUCGGAACCCUCAUGUACAAUCUGUUCACAUCCCUUCUCCAUCUCCUCAUAAUGUACUUCUCAGGAACUAAGUGCACUUGGUUUCGAAUCAAAACCGUAACCGCGUGCUUGCAAAUAAUUCCUCUGAACUCGAACAGGUGACAACUACACUCAAACUCACAUUCAUUUCUACGAAAGCACACUUUAAAGAUUUUUGUCUUCAUACAGUUGUUCAGAAUAAUGUCCUCACGUACAUCGUACGUAGUAUGCAAGUGCGUCUCAUGAUGUCCUAAGACUUCACAAUACAUCUUUCCAGUAAAUUGUUCUUGAAACUCCUUGAACUUCGCGAUGGUGUAAACUGAUUGGAAUUGCCUUUCCAUGUCGUACCUUGUCGCACAUGGGACCAUUUGUGAAAAUGAUUUGAAGUCCGCUUGGAACUCCUUUUCAACUUUACUUCUCAAGGCACGCUCAUAUUGCUCUACAAACUGCUUCAGAGAUGUUUUCGAAUGAACAUAGCCGUCAAAAAAUGCAUUAAUACCUUCACUCCGUUGCGUGGUUGACAUACCGGCCCAAAAUGAGGUUUUCAAAAAGCAUAGUACCCAUCGACCUCUUUCAUUGUACAGGCUGCUCAACCAAGCAUAUUCUAGCAAGUCAUAUUCGGCGAGCAUAUUAUUCCAUCCUUGUUCAAAUUCCUCGCAACUUUGCACAUCAUAUACCAAUGCAUGAACGGUAGCAAGAAUGGAAGCUUUAUGUCUAUGGCCCCCAAACUUUUCUGGUAACUUUUUCAAAAUAUGCCACAGACACCAUCUAUGCUUUGUGUUCGGGAACACGAUUUCAAUUGCAUUUUGCAUAGCACGGUCUUGAUCUGUAAUUAUCCCACAUGGAGCUUGAGCAUGCAUACAUUCAAGCUAGGUUUCGAAUAGCCAUACAAAGGUCCUUGUGUCUUCAUUAGAUAGCAAGCCACAUCCGAGUAGAGUUGAUUGUCCAUGAUGGUUUACCCCAACAAAAGGAGCGAAAGGCAUCUCGUACUUGUUAGUCAAAUACGUGGUGUCAAAUGUAACUAUAUCACCGAACUCCUUGCACGCUUGUCUACACCUGUUAUCUGCCCAGAACACGUUCCGUAGUCGGGCCUCAUCAUCCAAGUCUAUGCUAAAGAAGAAACCAGGACUGCGUGCUUGCAUCUUCGUAAAAUAAGCUUGUAUUGCAAGAGCAUCUCCUUCACUCAGUCUUAACCGUUGGACUUUAUCAAUGAAAUUUCUACAAUCUUUCUCAAUGCACAUAAUAUUUUCAUAACCACCGGCUUCAACCACGGCUGAGUUAAAACUCUUAUGUAAUGGUAUACCAGCUACGUCAUUUAUUUCAAGCUGUCUUCUCACACGUGCACUGAUUUCUCGAUUACAGCGAUAUAGCCUUGAUUUCGGCGGGCUUGUUUUGUGAUUAUACUCCAGAUGAACAGUGUUAAUACGCCAUAAGCCACUUAGAUCUGAACAUGCUGUCAAUCUUGCUUUACAUCCUGUUUGCAUUGUUGGUCGAGGCUUCAGGAUUGAAUUUGAGCCAGUACUUCGACGGCCCUCCCGACUACAUGUGAAAGUGACAUAACGCACAACCCCAUCCUCACCCUUCCUUGAAUUUCUUUUCCUCACUGGAAAUCCGACUUGGUAUGCAUAGUUCUUGUAAAAUUCAAACACCUCAUUCUCAUCUUGGAACUUCAUUCUAACACUAGGCACAAUAAUAUCAGUUCCUUCUUGUAAACUCACGUCAUUCGGAUUAUCGUCUUCGGAUGAAGGGAUUUCCAAAAUACCUACAUUCAUGACAGGAGGAACAACAAAUCAAAAUAAGAACUCUUGGAGGGGGACACUGUACAUUUUGUAAUGGAUAUGAUUGUAGUAAAGAAUGAACAACAAUCAAAAUAAGCCUUUUUUCAAUUGGACCUAAAUUGAGGUUUAAGAAUGAACAACAAUCAAACUACAUCUAAAAUGCUAUUGUAAGCAGUAGUGAAUUUAAGCACUGUCCUAUUAGUGAACAUGAACAAUAAUCUGCUAUUUUAAGCCCUACUUAUAAGUAAUGUUACUCAAAUAAAUAUAUUUUUUUGAUCGUAAAUGUGAGUUUGUGUAUGUAUAAGAAAAUAAAGAAGUAGCCCGACAAAUGGAUUAAUGCUAUUGUAAGCAGCAAAUAUAAAUUGAGGUUUACCUAUAAUUUCAACAAUCAAUCAGAUUAACUAUCACUUCAAUUUCUUAAACUGCAUCUAAAUUGAGGUUUACCUAUAAUUAACUUAUUGUACACUAGAUUAACUAUCACUUAGUUCACCAGAAAUAAUUAAAUAAAAAGUCAUAAAUAAGUGAAUAAGUAAUUAUCAUGCAAAUAAAUUGUUGGUGCCCAGUGCAAUUGCCAAAAUCAUUUCACGCUCUACGGUAUCUGGGCAUAUGAAGAUUACAAAAAAAUACAAAUUCUUGGAUUAACAAUAAUGCCAGGGAAGAAAAGAAAUAUUACCCAUGUUGUUGCCGGACUCGAUGUUGCCUCCUUCCAUUUCAUAUUCUUCUCUACAAUAACUGGGUUUCGGGUGAAUCACGAACGGUGCAGAUAACGAGGUCAGACUCACCGUCACCGGUAUCAAGCCAGGUUUCCCCUCGUUCCAUUUCUCAGUCGCCUUUGUGUGGGGGUGAAGGGGGAUUCGGAAGAGAGGUGAAAUGGUGGGCAAAAUAGCAGGCAAAUGGUGGAAUUGAGUUUAACAUUUACAGCAAAAUCCAAUUUCUUAGGUUCAGCUUUCCAUUUCUCAGUCGCCUUUGUGGGGAGAGGGCGGGGGGAAGAGGGGGAUUUGGAAGAGAGGUGAAAUGGGCGGGCAAAAUGGCGAGCAAAUGGUGGAUGCGAGGUUUAAUCAUCCACGCUCAUUCGUACAGUACAUGUGUUCUCCUUUGUUCUGAUUAUUAAUAGUUUUUCUUUAUAAAUUGCUAUAUACCUUUUUCGUAGAAUUACGAAUGCAGCUGCAGCUCCUCAAGAUGGAAUCAAGAGAAUAUCCCGAGGUCCGUGCACGUAUUUCAAGUGAGGAAGAUGUAGCACAACAUUCGUUGAUGAACUUGGAACAAAACCAUAAAUUAGGAGCCGAAGACUAGGAAGCUUCUUAUGUUCUUGAUGUGCUGAUCAACUCGGGUUUUGACGAAUCUGACCUCGACUUGUUUAGAACAACAUGGCACUCCUCGGAAUGCCCUUUAAAUCCUGAGUUGUUUGAUGACCUUGAGAAGAAAUAUAGUCAUGAGCAAAUGGAGUCAAGGUCUGAAAUGGGCGGGCAAAUGGUGGAUGCGAGGUUUAACAUUUCCAAGAAAAAUCCAAUUUUUCAGGGUUAACGAGAUUUUCAGUUUCAAAACUCAAAAUAUCGCCACAUCAGAUUGUGUAACCCAUUGUGUGAACCAAUGGGUACAUGUAGCACUAUCCAUUUUUUAAACACUUCAUACUGUCAUGUCUCUAUCUCCAUUAGCAGUACAAGUUUGUGUCAUUCUAUCACCUAGUUCUACUGGCGGAUCCAGCACCUGGCGCUCACCCACGGUCGUGCGUGCUGAAUCGUCGACAACCAUUUUUUUUUUUUGGACAAUAGAUAAAUAUUUUAGGUUAUAUUUCUAACAAUACACUUUCUAUCUAAACAUUUCUUCUUGCUGAGCACUAGUUUUUACUUCUUGCAUGUCCCAGGUUCGAAUCCUCUAUAAACAAAUUUUUAUUGUACAAUUUUUUUAGCUCUAUAAUUUUUACCAAUACAAUUUUUUUAGCUCUGUAAUUUUUACCAAAAAUUGACGGAACGAGGAGAUGGGGAUUCGAACUUGGAGCUCUUGCUGGAAUAGUUAAAGGUUUGACCAUCAUGCCAUUCUAUGGAUUGUGACAAUAGUGUGAACAAAUUUAUAUAAUUUAAAUCUUAGCGUGUUUUAAUGCAACAACAAAAAUUUUAACCCAUGCUCUUUUUUUGAAUUAUACGAAACUUGGCAACAAUGUCAUUUGAUGAGUAUGGUCUAUUCUUAUAACAAAAUUAUAUAUGUUUAAUUUCAACAAAAUAAUUGUUAUAUUUAAAUUUUAGGUCUUGUUUGAUUCCCAUUUAUUUCAGAAUAUAUUUUUCUCUAUUUUAUUUUCAACCAUAUAUUUUUUUAAUAAAAUAAUAUUAAAUGCAAAUUCAAAAUUUAUCCUUAGUUUUAACCACAUAUUUUCCAUCAAUCACUAUUCCAAAAUGCAUUUUUUGCAACAAAAAAAAGACAUCAAACGAGCUUGUAAUAUUUUAUUGGACCGACGAUCGGUGGUCAACGAUCGCCUGUGCUGACUCAAAAUUCUGAAUCUACCACUGCCUAGCUCCUUGCAAAAGGUUGUGGCUAGCUCCCCAUUUUACCUAUGGAAUAAAAGUACGUGGAUGAAGCAAAAUGAUAAUGGUGACGAGAAAAGGAAAAUUACAGAAGAAAUUACGUUUAAAAAAAAAAGCAUUAAGCAUACUUGAUGCUGUUGAUGAAUAUUUGUAGGCAGUCAAUUUUCAUCUUUGUGCUUGACAGUUUUUGCCCAUGUGCAAGGCAAUUUACUUCACAUGCUAAGCGGAGUGAAGAGUAUAAUCGAUGUUCAGUUGUUGAGUGGUUUAGAUUAUGUCAACAUCCGAACAUGUUGUGGUCAACCAACCUUUGGAGGUGUGCUCGAUUGACCCCGAGUUGAGAAGGUCGGUCGACAGCCUCUGCACUCUAUCUUUGUUGGUUCAUGCGGUUUAGCUCCAAUUUGGUAAUAAUAUCAACCUGAAUCACAAAUAAUAGCCUGAAUUUCCAACAUGAAGCCCAAAAAAAAAAAAAAAAACCAGCCAUCUUCAAGUAGUAAAAGCAUGCUGAAAUAUUAUUUAUAAGGGAAAAAAAUGCAUAAUAAAUGUGUGGCCACUAAGGGAACUUGCAAGGGCAUAACAUUACCUAGAUGUCUAACUAUGAGGAAACACAUGAAAGAGUUGGUUCUCAUCAAGCAUUCAAACUUGCUCAGAGCUUCUCUUCUUGAAACUUUCUCAGAACAUUCAGAAUUCGUGCAGAAUUCUUGCAGUGCUUGUGCGAAAUGAGAUCCAGUUUAAGGUGUGUGUGCACGAUUUUUCAUUUACAAAAUGCACACACCUGUGUCCAAAUACUACAUAGUUCAGUGCAUAUUAGCAAAUUAGCUAUUCUUAUAACUUUGGGAGUGCGAACAAGGGGCUGAUUUAGGUGGUGGCGAGUUAGGGCGGCUGCCCUAGCUGGAUUUGCCGAGGAGAAUUUUUUUUUCUGAUAAUAGAUAUAAUUUUUAGAUUAUAUAUUUGAUAAUUCAUAUUAACAACAAGCAUUUCUAGUAGCUCAGCUGGUUAGCCCUUCCACCAUUGAAUUGGAGGUCCUGUGUUCAAAAUUUUUCAAGAGCAAUAUUUUUUAUAAUUUUUAUAUUUCAACAAUUUUUACCAAAAUAAAUGCAAGGAAGGUGAUUCAAACCUACUACCUUCCUUAAACAUAUUGAUCACUUUACCAUCAUGGCACUAAUUGAUUUUUAGCAUGUAACUUAACAAAAUAAUAAAUGUUCAAUUUUACUGAUUUAAUGUAAAUAAAAAUAUUUUAAUUGGUGCUUUGUCCCUUUUCUUUUCUUUUCUUUUCUUUUUUUCCCCUCUAAUCAAUUAAUUUGAGAGUUUGGUCGAUUAAUGGUGGAUGAAUUUGUAGAAAAAUUGGUUUUAGUGUCAUAAGGAAUCUUUCAUCAAAACUUAUUUAAUUAAUAAAAGCUUCCAUAUUUCAUUCCCAAAAAAUCGAUUGCGAAAAAGUGUAAUCAUACAAACACAUAAAUAAUUUCAAUUUUGUUAAUAUAAUAAUGCUUGUUUAAUUAACUUUAAUUGCAAACUAAAUAUUGGCAUUUUGUUAAUAUAUAUUACCUAUUUAAUUGAAAAAUAAAUUAGGACAUUUUGCAGAUUAUGGAACAAUUUUUUCAUCCAAAAUGAAAGUUCGUACCUAAUUCUAAUUCUAAUAGUGUAUCUAGUUCUAAUCUAUACGAUUUUUUGAAUAUUAUUUAAUUAAAUAUUAAUAGACAACCCCGCUAUCACGAACGUUGGCCGUCGAUAGUAAGCUUUCAACGCUCGAUGCCCUAACUAAACUCGACCCUACUUCUGGCUUGUGUUCCUUGUUCACAGAGUCACUGUAAGAUUGUUGGCAACUGAUGCCACUGCAACUAGGAAAGCUCAUAUUUCUCAGUGUCGGCAAUGGUGGAUUUGCAGGACAAUGUUUGACUAGUACAUGUUGUUAGAUGGUUCGGAAUUGCUCGCCGCAUCAACCGCUGGUGAAUAGCAGAACAUGAAAAGACUUGUUUGCAACAAGAAUUGCUAUUUGGACUGGUCGAACAAGCAAAUGACUGAAUGAGAUUAAAAAUUGUCCAUGACUGUCUCCUAUCAGGUUUGUCUCCCUCGUUUCACUCGUUAUCCAUCUCUAGGUUCGAGUGCUAUAUUCUUGACUCUUGCAUGGUGGAUUUUCUAUGCAACUUGGGAGGAUAUGCUAAUUUCUUAAAGUGGCCGUUAUAUAUAGGAGAAAAAUAGUAAGGUGACCUAAUACAUAUGCUAAUUUCUAAAAGCACCCAUCAAACCGCGAUUGAAUAAAUGAGUAAAAAGUGUACUCUAGAUUAGGCUUCACACAUCUAAAACAUGCUUAAUAUAUGCGAAUAUUGUUUUAAAAACAAAGUGAUUAUUCAUGCGUUGUGGCUAUAAAUUUUCUAGCAUUUGCACAAUACAGGUAGAGAUCGUGCAUUGUCAGCGGAAAUCUUUUCGGCACUUCAUACUAUCAUGACUCUAUCUUCAUUAGCAAUAUCAGGUGUUGUCAUUCACUUCAGCCACCUAGUAACUUGUAGAAGGUUACUCAAAGAAUAAAAGUAAGUAAAUGGAACGAAAAUAUAACGUUGACGAGAAAAGGAAAAAUAUAUAAAAGUAAGAAAUUUGGUAACAAAGGUAAUUAACGAUAAUUUUUAUUAGGUCGAAUCCAAAAGGGGCCGUAGACACGAAAUUUAAGCUACGCAGUGCGCACUCUAAGUCUACAAGAUCAUCAUCAUCAUCAUCAUCAUCAUCAUCAUCAUCAUCAUAAUAAUAAAUAAUUUCUAUAAUUGGAACCGUAGACAUGAAAUUUAAGCUAUGCAGUGCAUGCUCUAAGUCUACACUGUCGUCGUCGUCGUCGUCGUCAUCAUCAUAAUAAUAAUAAAUAAAUAAAUAAUUUCUAUAAUUGUAAUGGACAAAAUGCGAAGGACUCUACCAAGUAGGGGAAGAUAGCAUAAUAAAUGGCCAAAAGUCGUUUGAAUAUUCAAAACUUUAAGAGUUAUGCUAUAUGUAUAAAAUUGAUUUACAAAUUGGUUGACAAAGUUCCAAUUAUUUCAAAAACAGAUUUUUAAAUCAUUAGAAAUCAGUGGCAUGAAUUUUGCCAACACUUAUUUUGUCAAUCAAAUUUGUAAACACACUUUGUACAAAUAGCAUAACACAAACCUCAAUGUGUAAUAUUCCUUGUAAUAUUAUUAUUGCUGUUAGGAAAAUGUGUAAUUGGCAAUCUAUGACCAAAGGACCUAUUUGUCAAAAUUGUAAAGUCAAGGACCAAAUUGUAAAGGUCUAAUAGUUCAGGGACUAAAGUUGCAAUUUAGCAAAGUUCAUAGCAUAGGUCUAGGGUAAAGUGGGAUGCUUUGAAGAUGCAAACGGCGCGUUGAUUUCGCUAGAGUUUCGCCCUGACCUCGCUUGAGCCUAAAUUGCAGAACAGACGUCGCUAGAGUUUCGCUGAGCUGUCGCUCGAGCGAAGGUGCGUCGCUCGAGCGACGGUGUUAUCUGGCCUUUGGUAAUUUUAAUGUCUCGCGAAUUUUUAAUGCUCCAUAUUACCAAAUCCAACCUACUAUAUAAACAAAACGUCCAAUUUUCGUAAAUGACCUUUGGCAAACAUUCAAAUAGGAAUUCCUCUCAACUUCCAAAGGAUUAAGAACCUAAUAUUCAUUCUUUUCAUCUUUUAAUUCUCAUGGUUCUUUGAAUAAAAACAUCAACCCUCUCAAAACCAAAACACCCUUUCAUAUCUCCAUAUCAACUUCCAGAAGAUCGUCAGUUUGAAAAUCCGGGAAGGGAAUUGCUUGAAGAGCUGGAGUGCUUGGUGAUUCACGGGAGGUAGAAGAUAUUCAAGGCUGGGAUUUUGGCGCAGAUCUGCAAAAUCCAGGAUAGCUAUGUUCGAUACAGUAAGGAGGUCAGAGUAUUGUUAGAAUCAUUAAUGUCUGGCGUACUGCAAGUCAAUAUCUUCUAUAGUGGAUCUCUAUUGGCUUGUGCCCGGAGUUUUUACCCAGUUGGAUUUUCUCCGUCAACAUUUUGUGGCGUUUUUACUGGUUUUUGUUAUUUACUUUUCAACCGGUAAUUCAACUUAGGUAGAUAAAAUAUGUGAAUGAAUCUGGACAAUGCAUAAUUUAUGUGACUUGUUGCAUAAGUUAAUUAAUUGCCUUAAUUCCGCAUAAACACCCAUUCACCCCCCUCUAGGUGUUGGUUGGGUCGAACUAUAGCUUUUUCAAGUGGUAUCAGAGCAAAAUCUCGAGUCCUGACCCAUAGUUGUCUAGAUGAGUCAAUCACUGUCCGUACCUCCAUUUUUCGAUGGAAGUAAUUAUGCUUAUUGGAAGGUUAGAAUGCGUGCUUUUCUUAAGUCUUUAGAUGUGCAUGUUUGGGUAAGUGUGCAAAAUGGUUGGAAACCUCCCUCCACUACCGUUUCUGGAACUAUUAAUCUAACUGAAAUAUCACUGUGGACUAAGGAUGAGAUAGCUGAGUGUAAUUGGAAUAGCAAGGGUCUUCAUACUCUGUUUAUGGCCGUGUCUCCCGAAGAGUUUAUGAGAGUGUCAAUGUGUGAAACUGCUAAAGAGGUUUGGAACAUUCUUGAAACUACACAUAAGGGAACUAAAACGGUAAAGAAUUCUAAGUUACAAAUGCUAGCAUCUAGGUUUGAAGAAGUGAGAAUGAAGGAUGAUGAAACGUUUGACGAAUUCUAUGCUAAAUUGAAUGACAUUAUUAAUUCUAGCUUUAAUCUAGGUGAGAGAAUUCCCGAGUCUAAAAUUGUGAGAAAAGUGCUUAAGUCCCUGCCUGAGAGAUUUAGGCCUAAAGUCACUGCCAUUGAGGAAAGUAAGGACCUAGAUGAAGUUAAAAUUGAAGAACAGGUAGGAUCCCUGCAAACUUAUGAACUCACUAUCACACAACCUAAGAAAGGAAAGUCCAUAGCCUUAAAAUUCAUCAAAGAGGAUGAAUCUUCUGAUACUGAGUCACUUAGGGACGAUGAAAUUGCUUACUUUGUUAAGAGAUUCCAAAAAGUUCUCAAGAAUAGGAGAAAGCCUCAGGAUAGAAAAAGUGGAGCCCCUAGCAGUUUUUCAAAAGAAAAAAUUGAAAAGUUUACCAAUAAAGGGUCUAGUGAUAAGCCUCGUUUGGUUAGGUGCCAUGAGUGUCGAGGAAUAGGUCACUAUAGAAAUGAAUGCCCUAGUUAUAAGAAGAACCAAAGAAAAGGGAAAUGUAAGGCUUUAGUUGUCUCACUUACAGAUAAUGAAUCUGAGACCAGUGAUAGACAGGAAUCUUCUAGUAGUGAGGACGAAGGAAACUAUAUGGCAUUUGUAUCGACUGUUAAGAGUGAAUCUGACAAAGAAAGUGACAAGGUUGAGGAAGAACUUCCUAACAAUAAUUCUAGUAAUGAGGAUGAGGAUGACAUAGACAUAUAAGAAGCUUAUCAACUUUUGUUUAAAGAGAGUCUUAAAAUCAAAAAGGUUAAUAAAGCCCUACUCAAAAAGGUUGAUGAACUUGAAAGAGAAAAAGAGAAACUUGCUAGUAAUCUUCAGGAUUCACUUAAGAGUGGUAGUGAUUUAAAGUGUGUCAAUGAGAAGUUAGACGAGAAGAUUAAGACUUUGACUAGUGAAUUGAAGAAAUCUAAUGCUCAUCUUCAGACUUUCAUAAGUGGGACUAAGAAAUUGGACAAUAUUUUGGGAAUGAAUAAGCCUGUAGGAGAUAGGAAAGGUCUAGGAUACGUUGAGGGUAACACACAUGUUACUAGACCAUCUAAGACUGUGUUUGUUUCUGCCUCUAAGAAAGCUAAUGCCGUCGGCAGUUCAAAAAAGGGUAAGAAUGUUCCGAGAGAACAGAGUCAUCAAUCACGUAGGAACUUCAAUCCCAAAUACCUACAGACACGUACCUUUGAGCCUAGGUUCAUUCCCACCUGUCACCACCGUGGAGCUCUAGGACACACUAGGCCUAGAUGUUAUAAAUUAGGCAAUGAGCGUAGAAAUCAUAACAUUCCUAGUCAGGUUAGCUUUCUGUCUAAUCAGGUUAGUCAUUUGACUGAGAUGCUUACUAAGCUUACUAGGAGUACUUUAUCAACUAAGAAAGUUUGGGUCAAAAAGGGUGAUCUAGCUAGACAUUCAGGUCAAGAAAACUGUUUUGUUGCUCAUGUUGCAUUAAAAGCCCAAAAUUACAAUAUGUGGUAUAUAGAUAGUGCAUGUUCUAGGCAUAUGUAUGGUAAUAAAGCUUUGUUCACUACUCUUGAUGAAUGUAAUGGUGGUAUGGUUACCUUUGGAGAUGGGGGUUCUGCACCUAUUCUUGGCAAAGGUACUGUACAAAUGCAUAGAUUACCUGUGAUCUCUAAUGUGCUUUAUGUGGAAGGCUUAAAGUCUAAUUUGUUAAGCAUUAGUCAGAUUUGUGAUGAUGAUUUUGAGGUUAGCUUUGUGCAAAAGAGAUUUACCGUGUAUAAUUCGUCCGGUGGGGUGGUCCUUGAAGGGGUUAGAACGUCUGACAAUUGUUAUGGAGUUUUACCUAAUUCUAAUUAUGUGUGUAGGAGUGCAAAAAUUGAUAUGAGUGAGCUCUGGCACAAAAGGUUAGAUCACUUGAAUUAUAAGAGUCUAGUACAGCUAGCUAAGAAGGAAUUGGUAGAUGGUUUGCCUAAGAUAAGUCCGAGUGAAAAUGUUGUGUGUGGACCAUGUCAACUAGGUAAACAGCUUAAGGGAAGUCAUAAAAAGACUUCUAAAAUUCUGACCAAAAGACCCCUGGAAUUGAUACACAUGGAUUUAAUGGGACCAUCUAGGACUGAGAGUCUAGGAUGUAAGCGAUACAUUAUUGUUGUGGUAGAUGACUUCUUGAGGUUCACAUGGAUAGAAUUGCUUAGGGAAAAAUCUGAUGCAUGUGAUCUUAUGAAGUCUCUGUGUAAGCGGCUUAGUAAUGAACUCAAUCUCAAAGUGUCUAGAAUGCGUAGUGAUCAUGGAAAAGAAUUUGAAAAUAAUCUUGAGAGUUUUUGCAUGGAUGAAGGGAUAUUGCAUGAGUUUUCUUCCCCUAUCACUCCUCAACAAAAUGGGGUGGUUGAAAGGAAGAAUCAUGUUCUUCAGGACAUGGCUAGAGCCAUGCUUCAUGGAAGGGGACUGGCCCUACACUUUUGGGGAGAAGCUGUUAACACUACAUGCCACAUAAUCAAUAGACUCUACCUUAGACCCAAGACUGAUCAGACUCCAUAUGAAAUUCUUAAGGGUAAAAAGCCUACGGUUAAGUACUUUCGUGUGUUUGGGAGUAAGUGCUAUAUUCUGCGUGAUAGAGAGAACUUGGGUAAGUUUGAAUCUAAGAGUGAUGAAGGAGUUUUCUUAGGAUACUCUAGAAAUAGUCGAGCAUUCCGAGUAUAUAACUCACGAACUCAUGUUGUGAUGGAGUCAAUCAAUGUUGUGAUAGAUGAUGCUGUGAGUGAGGAGGAGAGUGUUGAAAAUUGUGAUGGUGAUGGUGAUCUUAUAAGUUCUAGUGAUCCCACUGAACCACCUGUGUCUGAAUCAUCUCUUAGGAAAACUGAAACACCUGAAAAGGAAACACUUCCACAAGAUCAAGAUAAAAAUCCUAAGGAACCAUCGACUAGGGUUAAGUCUAAUCAUCCUAAGGACAAUAUCAUUGGGGAUCUAGAUGAAGGUAUGAGACUUCGUAGGAGAGUACUGAACAAUCUAGCUUACACUAGCUAUGUCUCUCAUGUAGAGCCUAAGAAAGUUGAAGAGGUUCUUAGUAAUGAGUGUUGGGUGAAUGCGAUGCAUGAGGAACUCAAUCAAUUUGCUAAGAACAAUGUGUGGAUCUUAGUUCCCAGACCUGAAAAUUGUAAUGUUAUUGGUACUAAGUGGAUCUUUAAGACUAAGACAGAUGACCAAGGUACUAUAACUAGGAAUAAGGCUAGAUUAGUUGCUCAGGGUUAUACUCAAGUUGAAGGAAUUGAUUUUGAUGAAACUUUUGCCCCUGUUGCACAACUAGAGUCUAUUCGGAUUCUGCUUGCUGUUGCUUGUACCUUAGGGUUCAAGUUACAUCAAAUGGACGUUAAGAGUGCCUUCUUGAAUGGACUUCUUUAGGAAGAAGUCUAUGUGGAACAACCAAAAGGAUUUGUUGAUCCUAAGUUCCCCCACUAUGUCUACAAACUCCACAAAGCACUUUAUGGUCUGAAACAAGCUAUUUGAGCUUGGUAUGAGAGACUUACUUCAUACCUUGAGGAACAUGGAUUCUCUCGAGGUGGUGCAGAUAGGACCUUAUUUAUUAGACAUAUUGAAGAAAUUAUCACCAUUGCCCAAAUUUAUGUCGAUGACAUUAUUUUUGGGUCUCCUCUUGAAACUCUAGCAUAUGAGUUUGCUGAGUGUUUGAAGCAAGAAUUUGAGAUGAGUAUGGUUGGGGAGUUGAGUUAUUUUCUUGGACUUCAGGUGAGACAGACAGAGGAUGGACUGUUCAUUUCACAGUCUAAGUAUGCUAAGGAUCUAGUUAAGCGCUUUGGGUUAGAUAGUAAGAAGCAUACUAGGACACCUAUGAGUACUAGCUUGAAGUUAGGUCGUGAUGCUUCAGGUAAGAGUGUCGAUCCUUCCCUAUAUAGAAGCAUGAUAGGUAGUCUUCUCUAUCUCACGGCUACUAGACCUGACAUUGCUUUUAGUGUUGGAGUGUGUGCUCGAUUUCAGGCAGAUCCAAAAGAAUCACUCUUAAGCUCUGUUAGACACAUCAUUAGAUAUGUGAGUGGUACAGUUGAUCUAGAGAUAUUCUAUUCUAGGAAUUCUAAUCUUGAUUUGGCUGGUUACUUCGACGCCGACUGGGCCGGGAACGCAGAUGAUAGGAAAAGUACGACAGGGGGUUGUUUUUACAUGGGAAGCAAUCUCGUAGCCUGGUUAAGUAAGAAACAGAAUUUUAUAUCUCUAUCCACGGCAAAGGCCGAAUACAUAGCUACAGGUAGUUGCUGCACUCAGCUUCUCUGGAUGAAGCAGAUGCUGAGUGAUUAUGGGAUUAGUCAAGGGACCACGACUGUUUUCUGUGAUAAUACAAGUGCUAUAAAUAUUUCUAAGAAUCCCAUUCAACACUCUCAAACAAAACAUAUUGACAUACGACAUCACUUCAUUCGUAAGCUUGUUGAAUCACAUGUAGUCUCCCUCGACCAUGUCUCUACUGAUGAUCAAUUGGCUGAUCUACUUACGAAACCACUAGAUGGAUUGAGGUUUAAGUCGCUUCGGACGGCUGUUGGUGUUUGUUCACCUAUCUGAUCGUGGAUUCAUGCAUAUUCAUGCAUUUAUCACAUAUGCACCUAGUAACUUCAUAUCUUGCAUGUAAUCUCUGUGUGUGUGAUGCAUUUUUGAUUGUUAGUUUGUCAUUUAGUCUUCUUUUUUGUGUUAUAUUUUUGUGUUUACAUAUGAAAAUUAAAAAAAUUAAUUAAAAAAAUAAUAAAAAAUAAAAAUAAAAAGGGAUUUUUUGUGUGUGUGCCUUUUAUGUGACGAUAAUAGCUUUUGCAUUAAAGAUCAAACUCUAUUUUUCAUCAUAUAUACAAGUCUGAGGUUCCAUCAUCGUUCUCUUUGCCUGUGGAGUUCUGAGUAUAUGGCUCGUCAUUCAUUUUUGCACAGCACACACUGUAGUCUUCUGAGUGAGUUUUGACCGCAUGGGUGAGACUUGGGAUGGUGUUCUUCUGUGAUUGGGGUUAUGUGUCCAUUUGACUUGAUCUGGGACUAGUGUCACCUAAUCAUAUUGUCUUUUCCCACUUUUAUUUUGUUGAACUUAUGACUGUCUUUGGGGCCCAUUUGACUCGAACAAUUAAGCCUGAGGGGUUUCUAACCUGGUGCCCUAUGAUCAUCUGACUUGGGAGUCACCGGCCCAAAGUUCGUUACCGGGGUCAUUUAUGUCGCCUAAUGGGGAUAUCAUUGCACUUAAGUUCUUUUGUUGAAAAAAAAAGGGAAGAAAUAUGGAAUCAUACAGUUAGGGGGAGUAAAAUUAUGACAAUCGUAAUAUUUGAUAUAGGUCCUCGUGGAAUUGGAUUUGAUUGUCACUUGGUAGACAUACACCUCUGUCUGGUUGUUUUCACGUGUCCUUUCUCACUAAUUUAAGGUUUUGAGUCUCACUUGCAUGGACUACGUGGCACUUUUCACGAUGAUGUUCUGUAUACACUUUACUCCACGGGAUUUUGAACUAUGUGUGGACUUACGAUUUGUCUAUGUGCUGAGUGUCGGGGUUGUGACUUUAUGCUUGUUGUUGGUAUAGUUUCAUCAUUGGUGCCAUGCUUCGUUUUUUUAUUUAUUAGUUUCCGAUGCUCUGCACUUGUCUUAUUUUUGAAAAUACACGAUAUGGGGCUAAUUUCGUCAUUUCUUGAUAAUUGUGUUUUUUUCUCAAUAUUCAAAAUUUUAGUGUUAUUUCUAACAUUUGAACUUCGCUCGAGUCUCGCCUGGACUUCAAUCGAGCGACAAAAGCAGAAUGCUUUUCACUCGAGUUUCGUCCAUGGCUCGCUCGAGCGACAGUGCCUUUUUAAGAGUCCCAGUUUUCAUUUUUCGCGCAAUUCUUCUCCAUUCUCUCUCAUUUUUUCAACAAUUGCUGCGAUUCAUUCAAAAUUCAUCCAUCACACUUGUUUAUUACUCAAUUUCGAAGCCCCUAACAUAUAUUGGCUUCCGGAUUUUCAACAUUUGCACAGCGUUUUUGAGGUAAUUGUUUUUCGUUUUUUUUCUUUCUUUUUUUUUUCCUCUUGUGCUUAGUUUUUUUUUUGUAUUUUGAUUGUUUCUUCUUCCCUUGUUAUGAUCUUCAUGCAUUUCUUGUUUGUUAUUCUUGUUAUUCUUCGCAUUUUGCAUCACAAAUUACAUUAAAUUGUGUAUUCUUCCAUGGUUUAGUAAUGGAAUUUUCGUGUUUUUCGUCCAUGUUCGUGUUAUUCGUUCUUGCGUUCCGUUACUCCGUUUCUUGGUUUGCUCUUGGGGUCGUUCAUGUUUUUCGAUGCAUUUCUUUCGUGCCUCAUUUGUGUGUGCAGUGUUUCAUUUCACAUUGCAUCAUAUUACGUGCAUUCUUCAUAUUACUCAUUAGUUCCGUCUCUACGUGUGCCAGAUGGCCCGUAAGCGUUCUCGACCCUCUGCGCAGCCGGCCAGUGGUUCGACGUCUUAUAGUCGAUCGCGAUUCAUUUCUGCUACAUCUCAGGAGGUCUUCACUUCUCAGUUCUCCUUACGCCCCGUACUCGUGGAGCGUGAGAUAAUCUUAUCUGACCUUCCUGUUGAUAUAGCCGCCAUUUUUAUUUCCCGGGGUUGGGAGCCCCUUCUUGUUGGUCUUUCACCUCCGCCCCCACUCCUGGUUCAGGAGUUUUAUGCUAAUAUUCAUGACAUAGACGGCUCGUCGUUUAGGAUUUUUCUUAGAGGUCAUUCUUUUAGGGUUACUCCGUCAGCAGUAGCUCAUGCUUUAGGUAUACCUCAGAUUACCCAUCCGACUUUUUCUUAUAUUCUACCUACUUCUAUUCCAGCCGAUGCUCUUGUUCGGUCAACGCUUUUGAACAUCCCGUCUGUCGGGGGGCCUACGGCGAUGGCCACGGGUUCUUUACCCACUAAUCGUCAGGUUUUGUUGCGCAUCGUGUGCACAAACUUGUGGCCUGUUGGCCACAUGUCUUCUUUACCUAUGGUGAGGGCCCGUUUUCUAUAUGCCCUUCUUCAUGGGGACUCGAUCGACCUUCCUAGUUUUGUGUGCCAACAGAUUCUGGCUUCAUUUCGUACUCCUGGGGGACGGAUCGGGUUGCCUUAUGCUUGCUUGAUUCAUAGGGUUGCUUUGUCUUUAGGUGCUUCUUUUCCAGAGGGUUCGACUAGUCGCAUAGGACGUCCGAUAGGACAGCAGACCAUUCAUCAGAGUCAAUCCCAUGUUCCGUUUUCUUCCUCUUCUGCUCAUGCUGCGGCUCAGGCUGAGCCUGUUGAUGUCUUUGAUUUUUCGGAGCCCCUUGAUCCUAUUACUGAUAUUCUUACUGGGGGUUUUUGUGUCUUUCUUCCUUCUCGUUCCGAUCCUCCUUUAGCUAUUCCGCUUAGCUCUACCUUUCCUUCGACAUCUACUUCUGCUCCUGGGGUGGCUGCUUUGCCCGUUGACCCCAUGGUGAUGCUUAUGGGACAGAUGUCUACACUGGUCGAGUAGCAGGCUCGUAUGAUUGCUGAGAUCACCCAGUUACGUGCUGCUUCGGAGCGUCAGUCAGCUGAGCUUUCUACUUUUCACCGUGCUCUUGCCAUGUGUCAGCGACAUUUGCGCUGGAUUCGUGAUAGUAUGGAGGAGAGCACGAGUGGUGAGAGCGGUGCUGAGUCUUCGGAUGCUGGAGGUGCUACCUCGUAGUUAGUUAGUUGAUUGUUUUUGAUCCUUUGUCCUUCGUGACAAAAAGGGGGAGUAGAUAUUUUGGAUAGAGUUGGAUAAAUAGAUAUCGAUUUUUUGGUAAUUGUGAUAUAAAGAUGAUGUGUAUAUAAUUCAUGACUAGAUUAAGUUUUUGAUGUUUUGGCAAUAUUAUUGUAUGUUUUUGGUGUUUUUGACUUACAUUAUUAUUGCUUCUUAAUCUGGUUAAUGACAUAUGAUCUAUUUCUUGUUUUUAUUUACUGUUUCCAUUUCACAUGCUUUUACACUUGGUAUUUGAGUUUUUGAUUUUCAGGAAACAGGUUCAACAAGAGAUAGCUGCUUUGGUUGAAUAGAUAGGUUGUUUGGAGACAUUUUUAUUUGUCCUUGACUGUCAUAUGUAUUUUUGUCACAUAAUACCAAAGGGGGAGUUUGUUAGAAAAAUGUGUAAUUGGCAAUCUGUGACCAAAGGACCUAUUUGUCAAAAUUGUAAAGUCAAGGACCAAAUUGUAAAGGUCUAAUAGUUCAGGGACUAAAGUUACGAUUUAGCAAAGUUCAUAGCAUAGGUCUAGGGUAAAGUGGAAUGCUUUGAAGAUGCAAACGGCGCGUUGAUUUCGCUAGAGUUUCGCCCUGACCUCGCUCGAGCCUAAAUUGCAGAACAGACGUCGCUAGAGUUUCGCUGAGUUAUUGCUCGAGCGAAGGUGCAUCGCUCGAGUUUCGCUAGCACCUCGCUCGAGCGACGGUGUUAUCUGGCCUUUGGUAAUUUUAAUACCUCGCGAAUUUUUAACGCUCCAUAUUACCAAAUUCAACCUAUUAUAUAAACAAAACGUCCGAUUUUUGUAAAUGACCUUUGGCAAACAUUCGAACAGGAAUUCCUCUCAACUUCCAAAGGAUUAAGAACCUAAUAUUCAUUCUUUUCAUCUUUUAAUUCUCAUGGUUCUUUGAAUAAAAACAUCAACCCUCUCAAAACCAAAACACCCUUUCAUAUCUCCAUAUCAACUUCCAGAAGAUCGUCAGUUUGAAGAUCCGGGAAGGGAAUUGCUUGAAGAGCUGGAGUGCUUGGUGAUUCAAGGGAGGUAGAAGAUAUUCAAGGCUGGGAUUUUGGCGUAGAUCUGCAAAAUCCAGGAUAGUUGUGGUCGAUACAGUAAGGAGGUCAGAGUAUUGUUAGAAUCAAUAAUGUCUGGCGUACUGCAAGUCAAUAUCUUCUAUAGUGGAUCUCUACUGGCUUGUGCCCGGAGUUUUUACCCAGUUGGGUUUUCUCCGUCAACAUUUUGUGGCGUUUUUACUGGUUUUUGUUAUUUACUUUUCAACUGGUAAUUCAACUUAGGUAGAUAAAGUAUGUGAAUAAAUCUGGACAAUGCAUAAUUUAUGUGACUUGUUGCAUAAGUUAAUUAAUUGCCUUAAUUCCGCAUAAACACCUAUUCACCCCCCCCUCUAGGUGUUGGUUGGGUCGAACUACAGCUUUUUCAAUUGCUUACAUAAUUUUCUGUCUUGAAUAGAAGUCAAGUUCAUGCCUAACCUCUAGAGAAGGAAACAAAAUAGAUAACAGCUGCAUGGUUACAAAUUUGUUAUGAAUUGUUGUUUUCUCAAAUUUUUGUAGCUGUUAGGCUACGCAUAUUUUUUUUUUUUAUACCCAGGUGUCCACCUUACAGCGACUAAUUCUGGGGUAGAUAAAGUAUGUGAAUGAAUCUGGACAAUGCAUAAUUUUCUGUCUUGAAUAGAAGUCAAGUUCAUGCCUAACCUCUAGAGAAGGAAACAAAAUAGAUAACAGCUGCAUGGUUACAAAUUUGUUAUGAAUUGUUGUUUUCUCAAAUUUUUGUAGCUGUUAGGCUACGCAUAUUUUUUUUUUUAUACCCAGGUGUCCACCUUACAGCGACUAAUUCUGGGAUCUACGAUCCAGCCCCUCUUCACGCAGACCAGGUAAACCGCGGGUUAUGCUCCAAACUGGUCAGGGUCCAAGAGUCCCCCCAACUGAACUGCAAAAGUGUCGAGCGAGUCAAACCCAUAUAUGCACCUUGCCUUUCAAGGAACUCCUGCCUUCCAGGAAAUAUCCUACCUUCCAGGAGAAAGCCUUGCCUUCCAAGAGCCCCAUGAAUCGAACCCGCGACCUCUGAACUGCUUGUCUUGAAGAACUCCGUAAUCCAUGGGUUGUCUAGUUCUACAUAUAUAACUAUAGAUUAAAUACCUGUUUGGUAACUCAAUCUACUUUUCUAUCUUCAAUAAUAGUCAUUCAACUUUGAAAUAUUCACCCUUUAGUCACUAUGUUAGUCUCCUCUGCAUAAAACUAACGAAACAAAUGGCACGUAAAAUGGAAAGAUAGCAGCAAAAGCAUUGUACCAUUUUUCACAAGAGAAUUAAUUAUGUGGUUGAAAUGAAAUAAUUUCAUUUUUUCAGCGUUGAAAGCACUAUUUAGUUCUCCGAUUGCACAGCACAAUACCAUGCGAUUGCAUGGGAGAAUAUUUUGUUUCUCUUUUGGUUUCGUCCAAGUUUUGAAAAGCAAUUUGGCCAAUGAUUUAAAGUACUUUUGGUCUUCAAUUUUAAUAAUUUUCAUUUGAGAAGGUGAAGAACAAGGCUAGAAAGAGAUUUACGGCAAAGAACGUUAAGAGUGUGAAGAUUUAAGGCUUAGAAUUGAAGAUCAAAAGCCAACCAAAAAAAAAAAAAAAGGAUUCAAUGUUUUUCUGCACUUCUAUUUUCCGAAUGAUGAAUUUUCAUAUCUUUUGUUGUAAUUUCAUUAUGAAGAUGCUAGGCAAACUUGUUAUUGUCGGGAUGAAGACGUAAGAAUUAUUUUACGAUUAUAAUUCAAAGAUCGUUUUAGUUUGAUUUGUGUAAUUGAUUGAUAUUCCAUGCAUUUGGAUUAUUUGAACACUUGAUCACCAUUUAGAUAAUAAAAUUUUAAUUUUAUUAUUUGGGAGGUUCAAAAUAAAUCUAGAACAUUGUGAUAAUCAACAUAAGGCUCUAUAAUUAAGAAUAAUAUUUUAUGACUUACGUAAUAAAAAAUUCAAAAUAGGUAAUCAUGCAAUUGAAUGUAUUUCUUCGCAUUGGAAUUCAAGAUAUGGAUAUUUCGGGUUGUGCUUAAAAAUAUAUUUAGCUUGCCUCGGGGGACAUAAAUGAAUAAGAUUUGGUUACCGGUUGUCAAUAUAUACACAAAUUAGAUUAGAGAACAUAUGCCAAGAAUUGAAAUUUAGUUAUAAUUCUAAUUCACUCUUCUCGUACUUACUCUUUACUUGCGAUUCGAUGGUAACUAGAAUAGAAAUUAGUAGUUAACAGACACAAACACCAUUUCAAAUAUUUAACUAGGCUAUAUUGGAGAUUGAUUUUCGAUUAGUACAAUUCAAGAUAAGAUCUAUUCCUUGUGGAAUGAUACCCUUGAUCCUAAAAUUUUUAUUUGUCAACAAUUUCGUCUGCUUGUAGAUUUAUAACGAAUAAUCAACAACGAAUAAUUUUGGGACCAGUAUUUGUGGGGGUGAGUAGUCAAAUUUCAUAUUAAUCAAUCAAAUCUCAUUUGCCACGAAAACAUUUCGGGAAAACUAUUUUUAUUUUAUAAACAAGUCAUAAUUAUUAUGAUUUUUUGAACAAGAGAGUGUUAAUUUCAUGACAAGAGGAAGAUUGGUAGGAUUGAUUUUAUCACAUUCAUUUAAGAUACGUAGUUUUCAUUUUUAACGAAGAAUGUCAUUUUUAAUAGUCAAAUUUCAUAUCAAUAAUCAAUGUCAUUUUUAAUUUUCAUUUUCGCUAAUAAGAAUUCAUACUUUUUUUUCUUGGCAAAUGGUACUCUACUUUUCUGUCUUCAAUAUUAGUCAUUUAACUUUGAAAAAACCAUCCUGUAGUCACUAUGUUAGACUUCUCAGUGCAAAAAAGUAACAAAACAGAUGAUAUGUACAUGGAAUGAUGGUUUGACAACAUUGCGAUGUUAAACCGAUGAUUGAUAGGGGUCACUUGUGUCGGGAAAGGUCAAAGUGAAGUGAGUUUUUGAAUUUAGGAUCUAGUCGUGUUGACCUUUGACUUUUAAUUUUAUUACUUUAGGGUAUGUCACUUGUUAAUUUGCUUUAGAUCUAAUGUCGGAAUGUUAUCGAGUCCUAUUUUCAUCAUACACAUCCUCUGUUUUAUGAGUUAUAUGAAAUGGAUACUGAUAGAGCAACUAACAGGAUGAAUUCUACAAAGUUAGAUGACUCAUAAUGAGAAAAUAAAUAAAUAAAUUUAUCCCCUAUAUUCUUAGGUUUGUAUAUGAUAAGAAAGUAUUGAAUUAGCCUAUCUAAAACCUAAAAGAUACAUACAUACAUGCAUUUAUUUCAAUUUUAUCUUCAUACGUCCCAUGGAGGUCAAUUCCUUUUUAUAAUUAUCAAAAAGCAGGGAUGUGUGCAAAUUUAUAAAUUUGAAGUUACAAGACGAACACGAUAUCUUUGUCAGUUGUGAUAUUGUAUGGAAUCGUUAUAUUUAAAAGAUUAGAUUAUUCAAAAUGAAAUAUUUAUUUAAAUUUUAACUUCAACCAAUAUAUAAUGUCUACAAUCCAUCUAGAAAAUACAUUAACAUAAAAAAUCACUAUGGUUAGGUAAAAUGUUACCAAAAUGUCAAUUUUCACCACGUUUAUAUCAUUAUAUACAUCAAAUUUCUAUGAUAGUAAAAACCAUUACCAAAUUUCAUAUUUCAUUAUUACAUGUUUAUACUGCUUUAUUUCUUGAUUAUUAUUAUUAUUAUUAUUAUUAUUAUUAUUAUUAUUAUUAUUAUUAUUAUUAUUAUUAUGUUAAUCAGUCAAAACAUGUUAUUUCUUCUAAUCUUUUAAUUCUAAUAAGAAUGUUUGUUACGGUUUACUUAAGACUAAAUGGACUUCUCAAUUUCUUUUUAGUCCGUUGGCUUUUCAGCAUUUUCGUUAGUGUUUGUUAAUUAGUUCUUUCCCGGAAAGGUAUCCUCAAGAUUUUAAUGAAUUUUAAAAGCUCUUAUAAAUUCAAGUAUCUCCAAUGAAUUCUAAUAUAUUCUAUUAAAAUCUAGGUGUCAUUAAUAACUCGUGAAUUUAUAAGAAUUUUAUUAAUAAAGGAAUUGCAAGAGAUUUGGAUGGAUUUCAAAUUUAAAAUUCACAUCAUAAAUUUUGUAAUUUUUAAUGAAAUUCUUAUGGAUUAUAUGAAAAUCUAUACAAUUAACAAAAUUUAUUAAAAUUUAUAAUAUUUUAAAAUUCAUUAGAAUCCCAGUUGAGAUAUCCACAAGGCAUGCAUAAGUCAUUAGAUGCAUUUGGCAUCCAAGUCCGCGGGUUAAUCUAGUUUCAUGGAGCUAGGAUAUAUAAUAACAUCGAAUAGAAUAUAUUCGUUAUAAAAAGAGAGAUGAAAAGAAUAUUAUUAUGUGAAACUUAUAUCCACACAUGCUUUUAAAUUUUUCAAUUCAAAAACCAAGUUUAAAAGUUUUUUAUUCAAAAAUAAGGUGAUAAUUCAAAUUUUUAAUAUUAAUAAUAAUAUUAUAAAAUUAAAUUAAUUUACAUACCCAUCUCAUUCCAUCACACACCCAUCCACCACACGACAUGUCACUUCGCAACCUUAAUCGUUUCCCUCUCUCUUUUCUCUAUCACACACCACCACCAGAAAGCCAUCGUCGAUGCGACGUUCACGACUAAAAAACAGAGUUUCAGACACGAAUUUUUCGUUCCUAAAGCCUCAAUAUCCAUUGCUAAUAAUCUUCACCAACGGAAUAUUUGCAACCACAAAUCCGUUAGUAAUUUGAGGGUCGUUGAUAGUUACCAGCAGAUCAUGCCGUAGGUAAAGAGUAAACAUUUUACCAACGAAUUUUCCGUUAGUAAAGUGUGAAUCUUUUACCAACGAAAUUUCCGUUGGUAAAAGUCUUAACCAAUACCAACCGACUUUCCGUUGGUAAAUGUCUACCAUUACAAAUGAUAAAAAUCAAUGUUGUAAAUAACCGUAUAGUAAAAAAGUUAUUUAUUUAUUUAUUUAAUAUUAUUAUUUAUUUAAUAAUUAUAAUAUUUUUUUAUUUUUAGUCAACUGAAUUGAUAGGCCAAAAUAUUAUUUAACUCCUUAUUGGACCACAAAUUUAUAGAGGGCAACUACAAAGAUAUUGUUGUAAACUUUCGAUGUGGGAUAAGUGAAUUAUUUUUAUCAACGGAUAAUUCGUUUCUCAUUAGCAACGGAAUAUCCGUUGCUGAAAGAUCAAAAUGUUAAACAGUUAUAUUAGGCACGAAAUAUCCGUUAGUAAAGAGAUAUCAUUUUUACUAACGGAUAAUCCGUUUCUAGCUAUCAACGGAAUAUCCGUUAGUAAAAGAUCAAAAUGUUAAACGGUUAUAUAAGGCACGGAAUAUCCGUUGGUAAAGAGAUAUCAUCUUUACUAACGAAAAAUCCGUUGCUGAUUAUUGUAGCUAAAAGUGAAUUACUUUUACCAACGGAUAAUCCGUUUUUAAUUACCAACGGAUGCAAUCCGUUGGUAAUUUUCGGUACAUCACCUACAGAAUAUCCGUUGAAAGAAUAUCCAAAUGUUAAACGAUUACAUUAGGCAUGGAAUAUCGGUUGGUAAAGAGAUAUUAUCUUUACCAACGGAAAAUUCGUUGCUAAUUAUUGUAGCUAAAAGUGAAUUACUUUUACCAACGGAUAAUCUGUUUCUAAUCACCAACGGAUGCAAUCCGUUGGUAAUUUUCCGUAGGUGAAAAGCUAUUUUUUAAUAGUGGUUGUGAGCGUUGCUGUGCAGCGAUGAAGUUUUGGGGAUGGAUACUUCCUACUCCGAUCUACCGCGUAGUCAGAGUAUUGAGGUAAUUUUUUUAUGGUUAUUGAUGGUUUUUUUUUUUUUAAUGAGGUGUCCCAGCUUGCGUCAGACUAUAUCCUCGUCCCUGAACCUCCGGCCCCUCAGCAGCUCAGGGAGGUAAAUCGGGGGAUGUGCCUUUGUUGGUUCCCAGGUUCCCACACGACUAUGGUUAUUGAUGGUUUGCUAAUAGUGGAGGUGGUGUUGAUGGUGCAGGUGGUGGUGGUACUGGCAAUGUUGGUGUAGGUGGCGGUACUAGCAGUGGUGGUGUAGAUGGUAGUGGUGCUAGUGACGAUGGUGGAUGAUGCAACGUUUGGUUGGUGUCGGUGGGGUUGGGGAAUCAAGUGAGAUGAGGAAUGCUUGUAACCAAUUAUUUGGAUGUUUGAGAUCAAUAAGUAAUAUGUGACCGAUAAAAUAGAUAAUUUGUGAAUAAUAUGUGAACUUAGAAAAUGUGAGAUUACAAAUAAAUUUGAAAUCGUGACUCACAAUUUGUUAAGUUGUAUACAUUAAUUUGAUAAUUUCUAACAAUAAAAUAAGUUGUGAGCUAUAAAAUUUGUGAUUUGUGAGUGAGAAAAAAUGUAACAUAUAAAUUUGAUAACUUGUGAUCGAUAAAUCAAUUGUGAUCUAUAAAAAAUUUUAUUUGUGAGUGAAAAAUAAUACGUAAUCAAUUAAUUAGAUAAUUUGUGAUUGAUAAAUAAGUUGUGAUUUAUAAAAUUUGUGAUCUAUGACUGUGAAGUUUUGUGAUUGUGACUAAUACGUAAUUAUGAUCAUAAAUUGUAUAAUAAUGUGACAUUAAUAUAUUUAUUUUAUGAAAUAUUUUUAUUUAUUUAUUUAAUAAAAUUUAAUUAUAACCUGAUUUUUGAAAUUUAAAACAAAUUUUGUAUAUUUGAAAUUGUAUCUUUCAAAUACUUUAAAUAUGUAUGUUUUCCAUAAAUUAUUAUUGUAUAACAACGUGAGUUAAUAUGUCAACAGGGCAUAACACAUAUUUUCUAUGUGAGAAGACGACAUACGAAUUAUUAAAUAUCGUUUGAAUAUCCAAGAUCCCAAUUUAAGAUUCGUCAUAAUAUUGCGCUUAUUAGAUAAAUAUUUUUUUAGAAGUAUUUCAUGGAAAAGUAAUUUUUGCGGGAAUAUUUUCUCAAAAACUAGGGAAGAAUUAAGGAAAAUUUUAAGAAAAAUAAUUUUUUUGAAAACUGUAUGAUUAAAAAUGAGUAUACAAGAUAACUGAUUCUCAAAAAUCAAAAUCAAACAAAUUCCUCUAUCCUUAAAAAAAUAAAAACAAAAACAAAAACAAAAAUAAAUUAAAUUUAAAGGGUAGCCACUGAAUUUAUAGCCCAAUUUAAUUGUCCUUUGUCAUAACUUUUUCACUAUUUGAUCAAGUUAACAACUUCCACUUUAGCUUCAAUUUGUUCAGUUUGGAACCAAUAGAUUAUCAUUCGUUGAUAUCGAAAGAUCUUUUGAAUUUCUAUCUAGGUUACAUUUUACUAACAGAAUUUCGCCUUCUUCAAGGUGUUUCUAGCUCAACUCGAUAUUCAUCUCAUCUAAAUGUAACGUUCUUAUUGACUAUAUUUUUCUUCUUAUUUAUUUUUCCAUCCUUGUGUGACCUGCUUGUAAUCACUUCACAAUAGUAAUAUAAAUGUCCAACAGUCAGUUUGAAAAUUCAAUUCCUUAACAGUGUCAUAUUCUUUUCAUUGUAAUAAAAAUCAAUUUCAGGCCUAUCCUCCAGAAGAAAGGGCAACACAGAUAACAUCUGAAUUGUUAUUUUCUUAAUCCCUUCACAGUAUGCAAUCUAACAACGUAUGGAAAAUGCCAUCUAAGAAAGUUCGCAAAAUGCAGUCUUCUUGAGCCCCAUUUUGAUGGGACAAAUGAAUUUUUGAAUAGUGUAUUGACGUUAAAUGUAUGGUUAAAAAAUAAGGAAAAGUUUUGGAUUUGCCUGUAAUAUUAUUUUAUUGAAAAAUGUGUGAUUGAAAUUAUAUUAAAACACUGUUGAAGAAUUCAUUUUCUCCAAAAAAAAAGGGAUCAAACAUGGGCAUAUUUUUUUUCUUUAACACCCUUCUCUUGUUAAAGUAUACGUGCACAAUAUUCAUAAGCUAAUCAAUAUUCUUGCUAGCUCUAACAUUAUAUUAUAUCACCUUAUUUAAAAUUACUAAAAAUAAUUAUACCGCAAUUUGGCACGAUUAACAAAACCGAUGUUCGAUAACCCUUUCUUCUGCUACGCAUGAUACGGAAAGGUAAUGGUGAUUACUAAGCCUAACUAAAUUUAUUGAAACUAAGGGCCCGUUUGGUAGGAAUUUUGAGAAUUGAUUUUUUGACCGUUAGAAAAAAAGUGGGAUCCACAUGUGAGAGAAGAAGUCAAAAAUUACGGCUUGAAUAGUAAAAUAACGGUCAAAAAAUCAAUUUUUUGGGACAAAAAAUCCCUACCAAACGGGGCCUAAAGUAGUAUUUACAUCUUGCGUGCAAGAAAGACAAAUUAAAAUUAAUAUCUUUGAAAUUUCUAAGAAAAAAUCAAGAAGAUCAAGCACACACAAAAUCAAGGCCACCAUUUAUCUAUAUAAUCCCCCAUCUGUGGAAUUCCUUAAACCACACACACACAAUAACAAAGCACAAUUGCAACAAACAUGAAUUUCUCCAAAAAUCUCCCCCUUUUAGUGACCCUUUGGGCAAUCACAUUCUUUGCCUAUACCCAUGCUGCCACUUUUGACAUUGUAAACCGAUGUUCCUACACUGUUUGGGCAGCCGCCUCGCCCGGUGGAGGUCGAAGACUCGACCGAGGCCAAUCCUGGAAAAUUAAUGUCUCCCCGGGAACUACCCAUGGCCGAAUCUGGGGGCGUACUAAUUGUAAAUUCAACGCAAAUGGCCGCGGUCAAUGUCAAACUGGAGACUGCGACGGGCUAUUUGAAUGCAAAGGUUACGGUAGACCUCCUAAUACCCUAGCCGAAUUUGCCCUUAAUCAACCUAAUAACUUGGACUUUGUCGACAUCUCAAACGUCGACGGAUUUAACAUCCCGUUGGAGUUCAGCCCCACCACCAAUAUGUGUCGCCGCCUCGUAUGCAAUGCCCCUAUAGUCGAUCAAUGUCCUAAAGAACUACGUACUCCUGGCGG